rnacentral:rRNA from 1 species
UUCCGGUUGAUCCUGCCAAAGGUUACUGCUAUCGGGGUUCGACUAAGCCAUGCGAGUCAAAUGUUCUUCGUGAACAUGGCGAACUGCUCAGUAACACGUGGACAACUUACCCUUAGGACUGGAAUAACCCCGGGAAACUGGGGAUAAUACCGGAUAAAUCAUAGAUGCUGGAAUGCUCUAUGGUUGAAAGCUCCGGCGCCUAAGGAUAGGUCUGCGGUCUAUCAGGUAGUAGUGGGUGUAACGUACCUACUACCGACGACGGAUACGGGUUGUGAGAGCAAGAGCCCGGAGAUGGAUUCUGAGACACGAAUCCAGGCCCUACGGGGUGCAGCAGGCGCGAACACUUUACAAUGCGGGAAACCGCGAUAAGGGAACCCCGAGUGCCAGCAUCAAAUGUUGGCUGUCCAGAUGAUUAAAACUCAUUUGUUAGCAAGGGCCGGGCAAGACCGGUGCCAGCCGCCGCGGUAACACCGGCGGCCCGAGUGGUAACCGUUUUUAUUGGGUCUAAAGGGUCCGUAGCCGGCCUGAAAAGUCCUUUGGGAAAUCUGACAGCUUAACUGUCAGGCUUCUAAGGGAUACUGUCAGGCUUGGGACCGGGAAGAGGUAAGGGGUACUCCAAGGGUAGGAGUGAAAUCUUGUAAUCCUUGGGGGACCAUCUGUGGCGAAGGCGCCUUACCAGAACGGGUCCGACGGUGAGGGACGAAAGCUAGGGGAGCAAACCGGAUUAGAUAACCCCGGGUAGUCCUAGCCGUAAACGAUGCUCGCUAAGGUGUCUGGCACGGUGCGUCCGUGUCCGGUGCCGCAGGGAAGCCGUUAAGCGAGCCACCUGGGAAGUACGGUCGCAAGGCUGAAACUUAAAGGAAUUGGCGGG